CAGGGUUUAUAAGUGCAGGGUUUAGGAUUAGAGAUGCUAUGGUAAAUUUUGCUGCACUUACAUUCACUACUACUGCUGUAGCUUCCCAAAGUUCCUCUGACUAUCA